UACGUAGGUGACCAGCGUUGUCCGGAUUUACUGGGCGUAAAGAGCGCGCAGGCGGUCGUUCAAGUCGAGUGUGAAAGCCCCCGGCUCAACUGGGGAGGGUCAUUCGAUACUGAUCGACUGGAAGGCAGGAGAGGGAUGCGGAAUUCCAGGUGUAGCGGUGAAAUGCGUAGAUAUCUGGAGGAACACCGGUGGCGAAGGCGGCAUCCUGGACCAAUUCUGACGCUGAGGAGCGAAAGCCAGGGGAGCAAACGGGG
rnacentral:rRNA from 1 species